UGAUGCAUGAACCGGUGCUCGAGCUUUUUGCUAUCUUUGUCGCAUACUCAUUGCCAACUCAAUUGGGUUUGCGACGGAGUUAUCAGGAGUUCUUGCUGAGAUUAUACGGUUGAACUUGAUCAGGAUAAUACCUGCGUCGAAGAAUCAUGCUCCUCGCCCAU
rnacentral:ncRNA from 1 species